AGAUCAUGUUUUCGUUCCAAUGAAGUGAAGUUGAGUUGUCAAGCUGCAGACUGAGAGGCCCAAGAGGCACGAAGAAUAAGAUGACAACUCAACGGUGUUCUGGUCCGAACAGCCGUGUUCCUCAUCGUGGAGGUCCUCGUUCAGGGAGGUGCUGUUCAAUCUCCAGACACCCAGGUGGGCUGUGUGUUUGGGGGGAGCUGUGUGCUGCCUUGCCGCUUCCAGCCAAACAGUGAUACCAUCCUCCACUGGGUCAAGAAGUGGGAUGGGGAGGAGGUUAAGGUCCUUAACCUUCAGGUAAGCAACUAAAGCCCUCAAUCCGGAGAGAGACCUCAAACUCCCCAUAGACUUAUCCCCCUGGACUCACUCUUCACACAAUAAUUGCACUAUUGCACACAUCCUCCAUUAUGUAAAUACUGUGUAUUUACAGUGUGUCUUUAAUUAAUGUUUAUACAAGAUACUGUAAUUCUUGUAAUUUUUAUAAUAUUAUAUAUUAUACUAUAUGCCUGACCUUUUUAUUUUAUAAUGCUGUUUAUUUUAUUGUUCGCCUGCUUUGGCAAUGCAAAUGUAUAUUUCUCAUGUCAAUAAAACUUUUUUGAAUUGAAUAUAUAUCUGGGGGGAAAGUGGUGCGGUCUAUUUGAUUGUAGCAGGUAUACUGUGAAUUAGCCAAUGUAUGAUGGAUUUUUACGUGAAGAUUAACCACUUAGAAUAGUUGUCCCACCUGCUGUCCGUCUAGUAUGGAAAUAUAGAAGCACAAAAGCAAGCACAAAAGCACACACAUUAGAGUUACAAUUAUGUUUAUUGAUUUAAUCUAGAAAACUCUGUGAAGUUUUUUCCUUCUUGAAACAUAGAUAAUAUAACUGUCAUCAGAGUUAGUGAGGAGUUUCUACUGCUAACCCUCCAACGUGUUUCAGGACAUGGGUUUAACUUAUCUAAAUCAUUUGUAGUUCAAGUUAUGCGAGGGCGCACCAUAGGGAUGGGCCGAUAGUCGAUUCUAUCGACUAUCGACGAUAGAUGGAUUCCAUCGUUGAUCGUCUCAAGUAGCCGAUUUUUAAUUUUUUUUUAAUUUUUAAUUUUUCUUUUUUAUUAUUAUUUUAAAAGCGCUGUGGUAGCUAUUUUUUCAACUUAAAAAGCCCCGCAAAUUGUAAUUGAAAUUAACUGGCACCGGUGGAAAACAUACUAUGUAGCGCUGACCUGCCGUAUUCACUCACUGCUGCGAGAGGAGAGGGGAGGGGCUCGAAACCUACCGGUCUGCUAGCACAGCGAAAUGACAUCACACCCCGCUGCACCAUUUCCGGGUCACAGCUUUGGUACAUGAGCUGUGUUCGAAAUCGUUCCCUAUUCACUCACUCACUAUUCCCUAUAGUGUUCAUGAUAUAGUGCACUACAUAGGGAACAAACAAACGAGAAUUCGGACACUAAGCUCAACAUUUCUAAACGUCAUUUGCGUCAAUAAAUGCGCCGGGUAUUUGUGUGACGCAGACAGAUGCGCCCAGAUUGUGUAAACAAACCGGGCACUCUAGAGGAAAGUUGGAGGUUGUAUUGAUGUUGAAUGUUACAUUUCCUUGAACAAGGUUUUUCUUAUUAAUUUUGAAUGUUUCAUUUUCUUGUUAAAUCCCAAAUAAAUUGUUGAUAUUUCUAAACGAAAGCCGGAGACUCCAUUAUUAAAUGUAGUCGUUUUCGCCGCUUGCUGUUAUUGAGCUUCUUCUCCUCCGGAAAAACACGACUGCAUUGCAUUGUGGUAUAUGGGAGUAACACGUAGGGAACAUCAUAUGUACACUCACAUUUUGGGUAUUUUAAGUGCACUAUAUAGGGCAUGAAAUUAACCAGUGAGAAUUCGAACAACACUACAAAAUAGCGAGCACCCUAUAUAGUGCACUUUAUCCGUGAAAGGGAACGAUUUCGAACACAGCUACGAGCUGUGUGUCAUCAUGACAGCGCCGCCGGCGCCGACGCAUCGAAACUUAAAUCAGCGGAGGCUCACAGCUUUUUUCAAAGUGAUAAAUUAUUAUAAAUAAUUAAUAUUAUAAAAUUAUUAUAAAGAUGCCCUCCCCCCCCCAUAGUAACGACUAUCGGUGAUCGCUAGGGGGCGCUAUCGGACGAUGGAAGCUUGUAGAUGAUUGCCCAACCCUAGCGCACCAUCAGUGAGGAUUGAUUCAACACCAGUAAGACACCAGUGAGACACCAGUGAGACGCCAGUGGGACGCCAGUGAGACACCAGUAAGACACCAGUAAGACACCAGUGGGACACCAGUGGGACACCAGUGAGACACCAGUAAGACACCAGUGAGACACCAGUGGGACACCAGUGGGACACCAGUGAGAGACCAGUGGGACACCAGUAAGACACCAGUGAGACACCAGUGGGACACCAGUGAGACACCAGUAAGACACCAGUAAGACACCAGUCGGACACCAGUGGGACACCAGUAAGACACCAGUAAGACACCAGUGAGACAACAGUAUGACACCAGUAUGACACCAGUCAGACACCAGUAGGACACCAGUAAGACACCAGUGGGACACCAGUCAGACACCAGUGGGACACCAGUCAGAUACCAGUGGGACACCAGUAAGACACCAGUGGGACACCAGUGAGACACCAGUGGGACACCAGUGAGACACCAGUGGGACACCAGUGAGACGUUCUGCCAUUCUUCCAGAAAAAACAAAGGACUGAGGCCUCCUCAGUGCUGCCCCUGCUGGCCGGACCUCCACACUGAGGCAUGUCCAGUAGAUAGACGAUAGCCCAGAGCAGCUGGCCGCGCCCUCAUUCUCACCGCUCCCCUGAUCCUC
rnacentral:lncRNA from 1 species